rnacentral:rRNA from 1 species
UUCCGGUUGAUCCUGCCGGAGGCUACUGCUAUUGGAAUUCGACUAAGCCAUGCGAGUCAAGGUGUCUUCGGACGCCGGCAAACGGCUCAGUAACACGUAGGUAAUCUACCCUCAGGACUGAGAUAACCCCGGGAAACUGGGGCUAAUACCAGAUAGAUAAAAGAUACUGGAAUGUUCUUUUAUCCAAAGCUUUUGUGCCUGAGGAUGAGCCUGCGCCCGAUUAGGUAGUUGGUGGGGUAAUGGCCCACCAAGCCUGCGAUCGGUACGGGCAGUGGGAGCUGUAGCCCGGAGUUGGGGACUGAGACAAGGCCCCAGGCCCUACGGGGCGCAGCAGGCGCGAAACCUCUGCAAUGCGGGAAACCGUGACAGGGGGAUUCCAAGUGCUCAUGCAUUGCAUGGGCUGUUCUUUGGUCUAAGUAACCAGAGGAGUAAGGGCUGGGCAAGACCGGUGCCAGCCGCCGCGGUAAUACCGGCAGCUCGAGUGGUAGCCGCGAUUAUUGGGCCUAAAACGUUCGUAGCCGGAUAAGUAAGUCUUUGGUUAAAUCCUACGACUUAACCGUGGGAAAUCUAGAGAUACUGCUUGUCUUGAGACCGGGAGAGGUUGGAGGUACUCCCAGGGUAGGGGUGAAAUCCUGUAAUCCUGGGGGGACCACCUGUGGCGAAGGCGUCCAACUGGAACGGCUCUGACGGUGAGGGACGAAACCUAGGGGAGCGAGCCGGAUUAGAUACCCGGGUAGUCCUAGGCGUAAAUGAUGCGAGCUAAGUGUGGGGGCAUCUACGAGAUGGCCCUGUGCUGUAGGGUAGCCGUUAAACUCGCUGCCUGGGGAGUACGGUCGCAAGGCUGAAACUUAAAGGAAUUGGCGGGGGAGCACCACAAGAGGUGGAGGCUGCGGUUCAAUUGGAUUCAACGCCGGG